rnacentral:misc_RNA from 1 species
CUUCCUUUCGAUACGAAGGUUAUCAGGGGCCGUAGCUCAGCUGGGAGAGCGCCUGCUUUGCAAGCAGGAUGUCGUCGGUUCGAUCCCGUCCGGCUCCACCAACCAUCUUCUGCGAAGAUGGGGCGUGUCGAGUAGAGACGGUGAGAAAAAAGUCAUUCGAAAAAGAGUUUGCGUCGAGCCACUGUGCUCUGCGCCUGUUCUGUUUGACAUCGUAAAGAGAAGAUUUGUUCGAACUUCAUGAGCCGCAAGGUCUCAUGAUUUGUCGCAAGGGACGCUCAAUCCCUUGCUUAUGAUGGGUUUGCCUAACCGCGCCCUCGAACGGAUCUCGAGAAGCUGGUCUUUUUGUGCCAAUUCCAUUGAAGCAGGUCCCGCACAGGAUCUGGUUCGAGGCGACGAUCCCUGCGGGAUCGCGCUUAGCCAAUCCCGCAAGGGGUUUGGCUUGAACGACGAUCCCUUCGGGAUCGCGUGAUGGGUAUUGGCAAUGAGAACGAUCAAGUGUCUUAAGGGCAAUUGGUGGAUGCCUUGGCAUGCACAGGCGAUGAAGGACGUGAUACGCUGCGAUAAGCUACGGGGAGGUGCGAAUACCCUUUGAUCCGUAGAUCUCCGAAUGGGGAAAAACCCGGA